ACGACUGUUGUGCGGACUGGACCGAAGA
rnacentral:sRNA from 1 species